rnacentral:rRNA from 1 species
AGUUUGAUCAUGGCUCAGAUUGAACGCUGGCGGGAUGUUUACACAGUAAGUCGAACGGCAGCACGGACUUCGGUCUGGUGGCGAGUGGCGAACGGGUGAGUAAUGUAUCGGAACGUGCCUAGUAGCGGGGGAUAACUACGCGAAAGCGUAGCUAAUACCGCAUACGGGCCCUUCGGGGAAAGCGGGGACCUUCGGGCCUCGCACUAUUAGAGCGGCCGAUAUCGGAUUAGCUAGUUGGUGGGGUAACGGCUCACCACAGUGACGAUCCGUAGCUGGUUUGAGAGGACGACCAGCCACACUGGGACUGAGACACGGCCCAGACUCCUACGGGAGGCAGCAGGGGGCUCCUGGGAUGAAUGGGGAAACCUCAUCCAGCCAUCCCGCGUGCGAUGAAGGCCUUCGGUUGUAAAGCACUUUUGACAGGAAGAAACGGCACGGGAUAAUACCCCGUGCAACUGACGGUACCUGCAGAAUAAGCACCGGCUAACUACGUGCCAGCAGCCGCGGUAAUACUGUAGGGUGCAAGCGUUAAUCGGAAUUACUGGGCGGGAAGCGUGCGCAGGUGGUUCGGAAAGAAAGAUGUGAAAUCCCAGAGCUUAACUUUGGAACUGCAUUUUUAACUACCGAGCUAGAGUGUGUCAGGAGGGAGGUGGAAUUCCGCGUAGCAGUGAAAUGGCGUAGAUAUGCGGAGGAACACCGAUGGCGAAGGCAGCCUCCUGGGAUAACACUGACGCUCAUGCACGAAAGCGUGGGAGCAAACAGGAUUAGAUACCCUGGUAGUCCACGCCCUAAACGAUGUCAACUAGCUUUUCGUUGGGGCCUUCGGGCCUUGGUAGCGCAGCUAACGCGUGAAGUUGACCGCCUGGGGAGUACGGUCGCAAGAUUAAAACUCAAAGGAAUUGAUUUGGGACCCGCACAAGCGGUGGAUGAUGUGGAUUAAUUCGAUGCAACGCGAAAAACCUUACCUACCCUUGACAUGUCUGGAAUCCCGAAGAGAUUUGGGGAGUGCUCGCAAGAGAACCGAACACAGGUGCUGCAUGGCUGUCGUCAGCUCGUGUCGUGAGAUGUUGGGUUAAGUCCCCGCAACGAGCGCAACCCUUGUCAUUAUUACGCCGAAAGGACACUCUAAUGAGACUGCCGGUGACAAACCGGAGGAAGGUGGGGAUGACGUCAAGUCCUCAUGGCCCUUAUGGGUAGGGCUUCACACGUCAUACAAUGGUCGGGACAGAGGGUCGCCAACCCGCGAGGGGGAGCCAAUCCCAGAAACCCGAUCGUAGUCCGGAUCGCAGUCUGCAACUCGACUGCGUGAAGUCGGAAUCGCUAGUAAUCGCGGAUCAGCAUGUCGCGGUGAAUACGUUCCCGGGUCUUGUACACACCGCCCGUCACAUCAUGGGAGUGGGUUUUACCAGAAGUAGUUAGCCUAACCGUAAGGAGGGCGAUUACCACGGUAGAUUCAGACUGGGGUGAAGUCGUAACAAAGGUAG